rnacentral:rRNA from 1 species
CAUUACUGAGUUUACGCUCUAUAACCCUUUGUGAACAUACCUAUAACUGUUGCUUCGGCGGGUAGGGUCUCCGUGACCCUCCCGGCCUCCCGCCCCCGGGCGGGUCGGCGCCCGCCGGAGGAUAACCAAACUCUGAUUUAACGACGUUUCUUCUGAGUGGUACAAGCAAAUAAUCAAAACUUUUAACAACGGAUCUCUUGGUUCUGGCAUCGAUGAAGAACGCAGCGAAAUGCGAUAAGUAAUGUGAAUUGCAGAAUUCAGUGAAUCAUCGAAUCUUUGAACGCACAUUGCGCCCGCCAGCAUUCUGGCGGGCAUGCCUGUUCGAGCGUCAUUUCAACCCUCAAGCUCUGCUUGGUGUUGGGGCCCUACAGCUGAUGUAGGCCCUCAAAGGUAGUGGCGGACCCUCCCGGAGCCUCCUUUGCGUAGUAACUUUACGUCUCGCACUGGGAUCCGGAGGGACUCUUGCCGUAAAACCCCCAAUUUUCCAAAGGUUGACCUCGGAUCAGGUAGGAAUACCCGCUGAACUUAAGCAUAUCAAUA